rnacentral:snRNA from 1 species
GUACUUGCUUUAGCAGCACACAUACUAAAAUUGGAAUGAAACAGAGAAGAUUGGCAUGGCCCUGGUGCAAAGAUGACACCCAAAUUUGUGAAGCGUUCCAUAUUUUU